GAUUCCGAACCCUGACGAGUCGUGAGGAAACGAGUCUGAGAAAAAGCACGUCGGCGUUGUGAGCGAACAGUAUUUGCUUUUAACUGAUGGAUGAUUUAUGAUUCUGUAUUCGUAUAAUUGCAGACCUGUCCCAGAGGCAGCGGGCGUCCCUGGUGGCAGUGGCGGGAGCGGUCAUCGGGGCCAUCCUCGGCCUCUUCCUCAUCACGGUCUUCACCAUCGUCGCCCUCCUGGCCUGCAGGUCCCAGCCGCCCACGUACUCCGACAAAGUGAUCGAUCUUCCUCCGACGCACAAGCCUCCCCCGCCCUACGCUGAGAGACGACCAGCCGCCCGCCUGCCUGUCAAUCACACGCUGGUGACGCACCAGGUACCCCAGGUCCGCCGGGUGGACAGGCGGGUUGAGGUGUCCAACAGAGCGCCCGUGAGAGGGAUGCCUCACAGGGACCCCCGAAACCCCGCCCAUGAGCCGCUGUCCUAUCACAGCUGGGUCUGCCACCACAAGGGGGCGGACCGCGUCUUCAUCAAUCACCGCGAGCACUAUGUGUGAUCUGCUCCCUCCCCACUGUUACCACGGAGACCACAGCAUCUGAGUACAUCAGUCGCCAAGAACACCGUGUGAGAUCAAUCAACUCCCUGCUGUUACCGUGGAGAUCACAGUAUCUGAGUACACCAGUCACUACAAACACUGUGUGAGAUCAACCCCCUGCCGUUACCAUGGAGAUCACAGUAUCUGAGUACACCAAUCGCUGUGAACACUGCAUGCCUUCCUCUUCCCACCGUUACCCUGGAGACCACGGUAUCUUCAGACUAAUCUCAAGAGCAAAGAGAGGGAUUGGGACAGGUGCUUUUAAGAACUGGUAUAAAGAGUUCAGGACACUUCUACUCUUAACGUGAUCAUGACUGCAUAUAACAGAGCCCCAAUGUCUUAACACCACCCGUGAAUAACAGUUCUGUUAAUUUCGCAGUUAAUUACACAGAUAAAUAAUAGCCGCAAACUAGCUUGCACCAGACUAAUGGAACGACUGUCUGACUCUGCACAGUCACAUCUCAAAACCACCCAAAAAUGAAGAAUUGCGGUGUCACUGAUCUAUAAAGUAAAAAAAAAUGUUUCUUCAUUUAAGCUUAGACUCU